GGGCGUGUAGCUCAGUCGGUAGAGCACUUGACUUUUAAUCAAGUUGUCAGGGGUUCGAUUCCCCUCACGCUCA
rnacentral:tRNA from 1 species